GGAAAAAUACAUACCAUAAGGAAGAGUGGGGCGAUAAGAAAAAAUAUCACGACGUCUGGAGAGAUAAGGACUGGAAAAGCAAAUGGAAAAGUCAUAAGGACUACAAAAAGUCAAAUCACGGCAAAAAAUAUGGCGGAAAACACGGCAAAAAAUAUUACAAGAAGAAAAAACACGGAAAACAUUACGAUAAACACGGAAAAGGUGGUUGGAAGCAUCACCAUGGUAAGGAAUAUAAAAAAGGAUCCAAAAAGUACCACAAAGAUCACGGACACAAAUGGAAAGGUGGCGGACAUAAAAAGAAACAUUGGGGAGGUCAUCACAAAAAGAAAGAUUGGGACUCUCAUGGCAAACACGGAUACAAAAAAGGAAAAAAACAUAAGGGUUG